rnacentral:rRNA from 1 species
AUUGAACGCUGGCGGCAUGCCUUACACAUGCAAGUCGAACGGCAGCACGGGGCAACCUGGUGGCGAGUGGCGAACGGGUGAGUAAUGCAUCGGAACGUACCUUUCAGUGGGGGAUAACGUAGCGAAAGUUACGCUAAUACCGCAUAUUCUGUGAGCAGGAAAGCAGGGGAUCGCAAGACCUUUCGCGGCUGGAGCGGCCGAUGUCAGAUUAGCGAGUUGGUGAGGUAAAGGCUCACCAAGGCGACCAUCUGUAGCGGGUCUGAGAGGAUGAUCCGCCACACUGGAACUGAGACACGGUCCAGACUCCUACGGGAGGCAGCAGUGGGGAAUUUUGGACAAUGGGGGCAACCCUGAUCCAGCCAUGCCGCGUGAGUGAAGAAGGCCUUCGGGUUGUAAAGCUCUUUCGGCCGGGAAGAAAUCGCACGGGCUAAUACCCUAUGUGGGUGACGGUACCGGAAUAAGAAGCACCGGCUAACUACGUGCCAGCAGCCGCCGCCGUAA